rnacentral:rRNA from 1 species
CCUACGGGGGGCUGCAGUCGAGAAUCAUUCACAAUGGGGGAAACCCUGAUGGUGCGACGCCGCGUGGGGGAAUGAAGUUCUUCGGAUUGUAAACCCCUUUCAUGUGGGAGCAAAUUAAAAGGAUAGUACCACAAGAGGAAGAGACGGCUAACUCUGUGCCAGCAGCCGCGGUAAUACAGCGGUCUCAAGCGUUGUUCGGAAUCACUGGGCGUAAGGCGUGCGUAGGCUGUUUCGUAAGUCGUGUGUGAAAGGCGCGGGCUCAACCCGCGGACGGCACAUGAUACUGCGAGACUAGAGUAAUGGAGGGGGAACCGGAAUUGGCGGUGUAGCAGUGAAAUGCGUAGAUAUCGAGAGGAACACUCGUGGCGAAGGCGGGUUCCUGGACAUUAACUGACGCUGAGGCACGAAGGCCAGGGGAGCGAAAGGGAUUAGAUACCCUUGUAGUC